GAUUAAAUGGCUGAAGU
rnacentral:tRNA from 1 species